CGCGGCGUGCUGAUCCGCGAUUACUAGUGAUUCCGGCUUCAUGUUCUCGAAUUGCAGAGAACAAUCUGAACUAAGGUGAACUUUAGAGAUUCGCUCCGAUUUUCAUCAUUGCAACUUUUUGUAUUCACCAUUGUAACACGUGUGUAGCCCAGUUCAUAAGGGUCAUGAAGACUUGACGUGAUCCCUACCUUCCUCCAGUCUAUCACCGGCAGUAGAAUUAGAGUGCUCUUUUUUUAGAAAAUCUAAAAACAAGAGAGCAACAAAUUCAAGGGGUUUCGCUCGUUAAGGAAAUUAAUCCAACAUCUCAAAACACGAGCUGACGACAGCCAUGCAACACCUGUUAUACCCUAUUUGGUUUUUUUUUUACAAAGUAAAAAAAAAUGUACUUUUUAAAUAAGAAAAAAGUCGAAGGUAUAAUGUCAAGAACUGGUAAGGUUUUGCGCGUUGUUUCGAAUUAAACCACAUGUUCCACCACUUGUGUGAGCCCCCGUCUAUUCCUUUGAGUUUUAGUCUUGCGACCGUACUCCUCAGGCGGACCAUUUAACGCGUUAGCUCACCCACUGCAUUCCUUCCGGAAUUCAAUAGGGAAUGGUCAUCGUUGACAGCGUGGACUACAGGGGUAUCUAAUCCCUUUUGAUCCCCCGCUUUCGCAUCUC
rnacentral:rRNA from 1 species